rnacentral:lncRNA from 1 species
CAGCGCAUAGGUCGGUUUGUUCACUCGAACUAUCAAAACUAAAUAGCCUCAUUUCUAUCUACCUUCGUCUUCUUCUCUCUCCAGGCCAGCCAAUUGUAGAGAAGAAAAACUAGAAGCAGAGCCAAACACAACGACGAAAUGAAUCGAUCUUUCAGGGUACGUCUCCGAAAUCCGUCGUAGAAUCUCGGUUUUCUUCUGGUUUUGGUUCAGUUAUCUUCUUUUCUGUAACUUGGAAGGGAGGAAAGGAUCCUCAUGGGGAAUUGCAUUCGCUCUCGUUCGGGAGAGAAAAUGGAGAACCAACUUAGCACUCGGGCGGCUACCAGUAAUUUUCUCUGCGUCCUUUCUUGUUUGUUCCGAUAACAUGCAUAGAUUUUUUUUUGCUCCUGAGAUUUUUUCAUGUACAAACGAGCUGUUAGUGUGAACCUUAUCGAGUCUGUCGCUUUAGUUACCGCUGCUUCGUUUUUCUUCCUUUUUUUGGUGGUUCGAUAGACUGAAAGGGGUUUUCGCGACAUUAAUUAGGUUUAGAAGUGAAUGUUUAGGUGCGUGUGCCUUUGCAUUUUGGUUUUUGUUUGUGAUUGCAUAUACUUUUGCUUCUCCUCUUUCCUUUCUUUUAAUUUUUUUUUUUUCAAUUUCUUGUACUUAUAGGAGCUGAAAAUAGUUGUCUUUAUGCUGGAAUUUUUAAUUAUUUUUUUGUAAUUUGUGGUAGAAUUUGGUCCUUUCGUUGGAUGGUUGAUGAAAUAUGUUUAAGAUCGUAAUAAGAAGUUGCUAAGGUUUUCAAA